rnacentral:rRNA from 1 species
ACACACGGCGGGUGCUAACGUCCGUCGUGAAGAGGGAAACAACCCAGACCGCCAGCUAAGGUCCCAAAGUCAUGGUUAAGUGGGAAACGAUGUGGGAAGGCACAGACAGCCAGGAUGUUGGCUUAGAAGCAGCCAUCAUUUAAAGAAAGCGUAAUAGCUCACUGGUCGAGUCGGCCUGCGCGGAAGAUGUAACGGGGCUAAACCAUGCACCGAAGCUGCGGCAGCGACACUAUGUGUUGUUGGGUAGGGGAGCGUUCUGUAAGCCGUUGAAGGUGUCCUGUGAGGUAUGCUGGAGGUAUCAGAAGUGCGAAUGCUGACAUAAGUAACGAUAAUGCGGGUGAAAAACCCGCACGCCGGAAGACCAAGGGUUCCUGUCCAACGUUAAUCGGGGCAGGGUGAGUCGACCCCUAAGGCGAGGCCGAAAGGCGUAGUCGAUGGGAAACAGGUUAAUAUUCCUGUACUUGGUGUUACUGCGAAGGGGGGACGGAGAAGGCUAUGUUAGCCGGGCGACGGUUGUCCCGGUUUAAGCAUGUAGGCGGAGGUUCCAGGUAAMUCCGGUACCUUUUAACGCUGAGGUGUGAUGACGMGKCACUACGGUGCUGAAGUAACAAAUGCCCUGCUKCCAGGAAAAGCCUCU